GGGUUGGGGGAGGCAUCUUGGUGAGUCAGGGCCGGACUUGCAGCAGGCCGGAGGCUGGGAGAAUAACACAGAAACACGGAGGGUGCUGGGGCCCAGUUCUUCAGGACUCAAAACACUCUCUGUAGAUGCACAGCACAGGCCCUUUCAGCUGCAACCAAGAGCCUCUCUAGGGAGCUGGACUACAGAUACCACAAGGGCAAGUCCUGCUUAUCUUAUUUCUUCAUCCUAAAUUUGUUCAUUUGACCAACUCUGGCACUCCAGACUGCAUGCCCUGAGGUCUAAAGGCCAGCAAUUCUGGGCUGUGGCCCUCUGGUAGCCCUCCAUCCAAUGGGGAGGCCAGCGAGUAAACAAUUCGGUGGAACAUCAUGCCACAAUGACACAGCGCAGUGAGUGCCAUCCUGCGGUGAGCAAGGGAGGGGCCUCUCCUUCCAUCCUGGGUGGGGGAGGGAGGUUAACAGGAGGAGCUUCCAAGAAGUGGCACUUGAGAUGACAAGCCAGGUGGGCAUCCCAGGCAGAGAGCACAGCAGAGGCAAAGGCUGGGAGGCCUAAGAAUACCCAGACACUUCCAGAAGGGAGGGAAUAGGGGGGUCUCCCAGGAUCUGCCCUGCGGCUUUGCACCAGGCAAGGGCUCAGGACAUGCACAGAAAGAUACUCAUAUCUUGCCUUGCACAAAGUUGUUUUUUUUUUUUUUUUUUGAGAUGGAGUUUCACUCUUUUUGCCCAGGCUGGAGUGCAAUGGCACAAUCUCGGCUCACCGCAACCUCCGCCUCCCGGGUUCAAGCUAUUCUUCUGCCUCAGCCUCCCGAGUAUCUGGGAUUACAGGCAUGUGCCACCACCCCGGCUAAUUUUGUAUUUAUAGUAGAGAUGGGGUUUCUCCACGUUUGUCAGGCUGGUUGGUCUUGAACUCUCGACCUCAGGUGAUCCACCUGCCUCGGCCUCCCAAAGUGCUGGGAUUACAGGCGUGAGCCACCGUGCCCAGCCGCACACAGGUUGUUUUAAAAUGAAAACCAGAGACCCAGCAGGUGUUCGCCAUGACACAGUCUCAGCCACCUUAAGAAGCUGCAGCUGGAAACAGCCAAAAGCUCACCCUGCCGGCACGGACAGGGAAACUGAAGCCACAAGAGGGGAAGUGAGACCCCUAGAACCCAGGCCCCUCACCCUUCCCCAGCAGGUUUGGAAAUAGCCAUCCUUCAGGGACAGGGGACUGAGAAACUCUAAACACACCCAAGACUGCCUGCAGGUCACUCUCUGAUUAGCGGAGGUGAGUGGUUGCAAGCUGUCUGUCACAUCCAGCCUGCCACGUGGUUUUGUGCAGCUUGUGAGCUAAGAAUGGUGGUUACAUUUUUAAGUGGUUGGAAAAUGUUUUGUGAUGCAUAAAAACUGUGCGAAAUUCGAGAUUCCGUUUUCAUAAAGUUUUCUUGGGACACAGCCACACUAAUUGGUGUAAACAUAUUGUCUCUGGCUGCUUUCACGUUGCAGCGGCAGAGUUGAAUAGUUUCAUCACCUGCAAAGCCUCACAACACAAACGCUUAACGUUUCCUGAGCCUGUGGUCAAUGCCAGACCCUGUGGUAGGUGCUUUGCAUACAUCAGCUCAUAUAAUCCUCGAAGCUGCCUUUAGAAAUGAGGAAACUGAAGCUGAGAGGGAGAAUGUGCCUUGCUCAAGGGCACACAGAGUAAUGGCAGAGCCAGGACUCAAGUCCAGGCACAUGAAAUAAUGUUCUUGAUCUUAACCCCUAGCCUGGGAUGGUGCAGGCUGAACGGUGAGCUCCAGCACAUCAGCAAUUACUAUAUGUAAGGAAAAAGGAGUAGCUUAGCAGCAGGUAAGCUAUUUCUUCUGUGUGUGUGUAAUAGGGUCUUGCUCUGUGGCCUAAUCUGGAGUGCAGUGGCGUGGUCAUAGCUCACUGCAGCCUCAAACUCCUGGUCUCAAGCAAGCAAUCCUCCUGCCUCAGCCUCCCCAGUAGCUGUUACAGGAGCACACCACCACGCCCAGCUCCAAGUAAUCUAUUUCAAGGAAUGAAGCCCAAGAAAAAUACUCCAAGUUGCCUUCCAAGAUUGAAGCAAUGAUAUCUGAGGUGAGAGAAAUAUUGGGAAAAAACACAGACUCCCCUACUACAGAAACCUGUCCCUUGAUGGAAUGUGACGCAGGCAUGAAAGUUAUAUUUAUACUGAAUGCUUAUAAAGCACUCAAGACCUGUUAGGUAGAAAAGAGAGGGCACAGAAGUAUAUAAACAGCAUAAUUCAAGUGUGCUUGCAUGCUGAGAGGACAGACUGAAAGAAAUGCUGACGGUGCCUAUCUCUGGGUGGCAUAAUUAUUAAUGCCCCUUUCCUUUUAAAUAUAUUUUCUUUUCUAUAUUUGUAUAUAGAAAAAAUGUAUAUAAUGAUGUCUAUUUUACUUUUUUUUCUUUUUUUUUUUUUUUUUUUUUUUUUUUUUGAGACAGAGUCUCACUCUGUCGCCCAGGCUGGAGUGCAGUGGCACGAUCUCAGCUCACUGAAACCUCUGCCUCCUGGGUUCAAGUGAUUCUCCUGCCUCGGCCUUCCUAGUAGCUGAGAUUACAGGUGCUCACUACCAUGGCCUGCUAGUUUUUGUAUUUUUAGUAGAGACGGGGUUUUGCCAUGUUGGCCAGGCUAGUCUCAAGCUCCUGGCCUCAAGUGAUCCACCGGCCUCCACCUCCCAAGGUGCUGGGAUUACAGGCAUGAGCCAUCAUGCCUGGUCUACUACUUUGUUUAAUUGUUACAACUGCCUCAUGAGGUAGGUACUAUUAGUAUCCCCAUUUUGUAGAUUAAAAAAAAUGUUCCAGAGAGGUUAAGAAACUCGCCUAAGGUCACAGAGCUAGUAAGUGGCAAAGCCAGAGUCUGAACCUAGGGUGUCCUAUGAAAGAGCCUGCAUUCAAUCACAAUAAAUAUUGGUUCAAUAUAUAAGUGAUUCCAGCUCCUCCUUGCAGACCUUGCCUGCUGUGAUUGGUCUAAGAGGACCCAGUUCUCCCCACCUCCUCGCAACACCGUGUGAGCCUGCUUGGGGUGUGGAGCAGGAAUUGCAAUCAGCAAAGCCAGUGGGUGUUAGGUUCCUCUCUACACUGGAGCCCAGUAGUGGGCUAGCCUAGGAAGCAAGAGCUGUUUAUGGGUCUUCUGAGAAAAAUGUGCUCCUGGUUGUAACUAACUGCCUGCUACUGUUGGAACAGCCCCAUGUUAAAGCAAAAACAUGGCUCAUUGGGCCCCUACUUGGAGCUCUCUUACAAGUGGAUCCUGAGCAACUAGAGAUUUGGUAUUCAAACAAACAACCUAUAACCUCUUUAUACUUAAAUGAUCAUCCGUGCACUAAAUUCAGUCUUCCUUCCAUUCGCUGAUGGAUGAAAAUGCCUGCAGCCUCAUGGUGGUCCCCAGUCCCCAGAGGCAACACCACAGCCUGUACAGCUGCAUGUGUGCAGUGGUCUAUUUAAUUGCGUUUUGCUUCUUUGUUGUUUCGGGGUGGGGAACUGUUCCCACCAGUGACAAGCACAGCUGUAAUAAAGCCUCAUAUUAUAGAGACAAAGAGAGGAAGGCUUGGAGGCUUGGGUGCCAAAAGCCAGCGCAACUUAGCUUCAGCCUGGUAUUUACCAAGCUUAGGUUGGUCAACAGUACAGUUAUUAAAGAAAAUGAAAAAUUAAACAUUUGUGGAAUCCUGAACAUAUGUGGCUAGGCAAGGACUAUAACUGACAGGCCAGGUAUAGCCUGAGAUUUUAUAAUCUAUGUGUAACUUGUCAGGAACUGUUAUCCCUCCCCGACCAGGUGCUGGCUUCCUAUGCAAACCUGUGUCCGCUUCCCUAAAAAUGGGGAAAACAGGGGUGACGUCGCUUAUAGAAUCCCACCUCCCUUGCCAGUGGUCACUGUCCCUCCAAGGAAACUGAGGCUCCCUGGUGGCGCAGGAGGGCACAGGCGGACCGGAGCCCAGCCAGACUGCAAAGCCCAUUAAAAGCCUGUUCCUUCCUCCGAGGAAAGCAAGAGUCUUGCUGGUUGUGCCGCUUGUUUCUCAGGGCAGUGGUCUUUUCAGUUUACUCACAAUGGGACCUUUUGUUCGAAUGAAAGCAACGGUCUCAUGAAAUAGAAUAAGAACAGAGCUGCUCGCAAGCAAGGCCCAGAAGGGAGGAGGGGAAGUCACGCCCAGCUGCCUGCCCUCCCCCGUUCCCCUGCUGCUAGGGGGGCUCACGGGCUACAGCUUGCUGAUUUGAAUCAUCCAAAGGGGAAAUGGUCCACUGUGGGCCUGCUCCAGCCAGGAUUCAAUUCCCUUUCUCAAAUGGGAACAGAGCUCUGGGGAGUUCACUUUCGGCCCCAGAUUUUCGCUGCCAAUCUGGGCGGCACUAGGAACCAGUUUCUGGGCUGGAGACUGCAGCAUGAAGCCAUUCCUCCAGAGUGGAAGAAAACAGGGGCUCCCCAGCUCACUGGGUCUGCUUGGGCUGGGGGUAGCCAGCGCUGCUGGUCCCAGACCUGGAAGGCCAGAGGGCAAACAAAUGUUAGAAAUGUACUCCAGACUCCGUGAUUCUUCCCCAGAGGGUAGUGGCUGAAGGAAUCCAUGCCUCUGGCAGACAUCCUCAAUCACCUGGCCUCAAAGACCCCUGGGAAGGGGUCUUUAGGGGAGAGACCUUGGUGUUGUUUGAGGAGGCCAGGGGCCUGGCAAUAGGAGUCCUGGGAUAUUUUGUGGAAUUUAAGAUCAGAAAUAAAGCUGGACCUUAGGCAUGGACUCGGGGAGCUACAGGGACCCAGAAGCCCUUUCUUCAUCACUGUGUAUCUGCUCUGCCUGCGUGGUCCCUGGCUUCCCCAACUCCCAGGCCCCCAUAAAGGAAAACCCAGAUCUGAUGCCACUGAUGGUGGCUCCAAGGGGCUCAUAGGUCACCUGGAGUUGACUGUGCUCCGGGACAGUCUUAUUCUGUGAGCAAAGUACCGCUGGGCGGAUAAUGCAAUAUGUGCUCCCAUCCCAGAUAAUGUCUACAUUUUCAACUAUUCAGUCUUUCAGUAAGUACUGAUUGGCACAUCAUGCCAGAUUCUGGGGAUCCUGGUGAAGGAAACCAGUGCCUGUCCUCAUGCGGCUUAUAUUCAAUUCAGGGAAGACACUCAAAACUCCAAUGAGAUGAUAGAUCAGCUAUCAGUGCUACUAAGGUGCUACGGGCACUAUUUACAUAUGGGGGUCAGGUGAAGUGCUGGGAAGGGCAGACACUGGAGGUGGGGAAAGGAUGGGCACUCCCGAGAGAACAGCACCUGCGAAGCUCAGGGGUAGAAGGCCUCCUGAACACAAGAGAACAUCAGGAGAGGAUGAGGGGCGGCAGGGCAGGCAACACGGGGCCUCCUAAGCCAGUGGUGAGGAUUUAGUUUUUAUUCUGAGUGGGAUGGGAAACCAUGGAGGGUUUGAAGCCUUAGACACAGGGGUCAAUGAGCUUUUUCUUAAAGGGCUACACAGUAAAUAUUUUAGGCUUUGUGGCCAUACGAUCUCUGUUGCAGCUACUCAACUCUUCAAGUAUAGAGCAAAAGCAGCCACAGACAAGGCACAGUGUGUUCCAAUAAGCUUUACUGAUGGACACUGAAAUUUGAAUUUCAUAUCAUUUUUACUUGUCACUAAAUAUUGUUUUUUCCCCCAACCAUUUAAAAAUGUAAAAAGCCUUCUUAGCUUGUGGGCUACACAGAAGCUUCCGGCAGGUUGGAGUUAGCCCAUGGGCCUUAGCAUGUCUUCCCCCACCUUGAUACCUGAAAAGGUGACUAUGGCUGCAGCUCUGAGAACAGAUUCAAGUGGGUGGGGGAAGCUGGGUUAGGAAGCUGUGACUGUUAACCUUGUCAACUUGACUGGGCAAUGGCGUGCCCAAAUAUCUGGUCACGCGUUACCCUGGGUGUGUCUGUGAGGGUUUUCUGGAUGAAAUGAACAUUUGAAUCUGUGGGUUGAGUAAAGCAGGUUGCUCUCUCUGGUGUGGGUGGGUGGAUCCAUUCAGUUGAGGGCCUGAAUAGAACAAAAAGGCUGAGUAAUAAGGAAUUCCUUGCAGGCGUGUGGCUCAUGCCUGUAAUUCUAGCACUUUGGGAGGCCGAGGUGGGAGGAUCACCUGAGGUCAGGAGUUUAAGACCAGCCUGGCCAACAUGGGGAAACCCCAUCUCUACUAAAAAUACAAAAAUUAGCCAGGCGUGGUGGCGCAUGCCUGUAGUCCCAGCUACUUGGGAGGCUGAGGCAGGAGAACUGCUUGAACCCAGGGGGUGGAGGCUGCAGUUAGCCAAGAUCGUGCCACUGCAUUCCAGCCUGGGCGACAGAGUGAGAGACUCCAUCUCAAAAAAAAAAAAAAAAAAAAAAAGGAAUUACUCCUGCCUGCCUUCAAGCUGGGACAUCAGUUUUUAGCUGCUUUCCAAUCUGAACUGAAAAACUCAGCUCUCCUGGGUCUCUCUGGUUUGUUGACUGCAGAUCUUGGAGCUUAGCAGCCUCCAUAAUCAUGAGUCAAUUCCUUAAAUACAUCCCGAUCUCUCUCUCUCUUCCCCCACGCAGACCCUAUUGGUUCUCUUCUUCUGGAGAACGCUAAUAGAGAGGCUCUGUCCACGCAGAAAUGAUGGGAGCACAGGCUGGGGGAGUCACCGGGCAGGUGUGAGAAGUAGCUGGGAUAUGGAUGCACUGUGAAACCAGAGCCUGGGUGUGGGAUACGCAAGAAGAGAUGGGAGUCAAGGAGGCUCAGAGGUGGAAGAGCAUGAACUUCCUCCUGUAGACAAAAGGGAUAAUCACUUGUGUCUCCUUCAGAGACCUUGACAGAAAACAUCACUCUAGAAGCAAAACAGGGAACAGGCGGUUGGAGGCAGAGAAACCAGCUACAAGGCUGUUCGGACACUAGACUGUUAUCUACAUGGGGAGGCACCUGGCAGGUGGCCAGAUCCCCAGAUGGAAUCUCCACCUUGUGGUUUAUGAGGCAUUCUAGGCCACUGCCUCCUGAAGACACUGCUCAGGGUGGUAAGAACUCAUUUUGCAUUUGGGGAGCUGUAGGUGGGGAUGGUGAUAAGCAGCCCAGGAUUUUGUUCGCCAAGAGGUAUUAUUCCAACUUCCACAACCCAAAUAGCAUCUCUGCACGGAAAUGAAGCUGCAACAGCUCCCUGUCAUGGAUGGGGCACUUCCCAGUUCUCAGACUUCAUCACUAGAGCCCCCAAGCUUGGAUGUUGUUGCUGAACUCCCUCAAGGCACUAAGUGUUAGCCUGAGCACCUCUCCUGGCUGGACCAGGGGUCACUUGCUCCAUUACAGUUCUCUCCAGCUCGGUGACACUCUCACUGUAAAUGCAAGUUCUCACUCAGUGAAUGCCAAGACGAAUGCAACCCUACCUAGUGGGGUAGAGAUUAGGAAAUGGGCGAUGAGAGGCACAGGGCUCUUGGGAAGGGAGCCCUGCUGCUGGGGGCCUGAGAGACACCCAGUGGAGAGGAGCCUGGACAAACUUGGCAACCAGCCCCAACCACGUUCCGCAGCAUUUUGGGGGCCAGGCACCCUGUGUGUGAUCCCUUUCCACUGUAACCAGGCCUGCUCCCUGCUCUUCCCCUCGGAGACACAGAUGACUGCUCCUCUCUGGCAGCCCAAAGCUUUCUCUGCCCCCACAACUGCCUGGGGGCCUUUGAGCCACUUCUCCCCAGUUCUGUUCCAAACCCACCAGGAAGUCCUUCCCCAAAAGUCCACUUACUCUUUGAGAUCAGUGUGAGGAAGCUACUCUAAGAACAAAACUAAGCACCCGGUGGUGAGUGCCCAAGCUCAAGUGUGCAGAUUUUUUCUGACAGCAGAAUAGACCUGUCUACUUGCCUUCCAAGUUGAGUCCUGAAGUGGGUAACUUCCUCCUCUGACUUCUGCCCUCAGGCUCCCUGGGCAACGGCCCUGACGUUGCUUUCUAGCCCCUCACCAUGAAGCCUGUCAGGGAGCCGCGUGCCUCACCCUCUAUCUGCCCCUCACUAAACUCAGGAUCCUAAAAUCUGCCCUCUUACCCAUUUUCGUUCACAUGAAUUAAACUCCAACUACAAUGAAUUUGAAGGAUCCCAUCUGCCUCUCUAAACUCACCCCCCUCCACAUUUCAGCCAAUCCAACCAACUCAGCAGUCACCUUAUCCUCAAGGAUCUUGGGAUGCGCAGUAAUUCCCAUCUCCCACCCAGCCCUCCUGACACUCGCCACAGGGGAACUUUCAGCCGGCACACCACGGCCAGUGUCGCCUAGCGAACACACCCCCCCCCACCCCACACCCCAAAGUUCGAAGUUGAGAAUAAGCCAUUUGCUGGUGGACUCGGUUCCCACAGGAGGGAUGAGGACAGCUGCCAUCUGCACAUCAGCUGCCUAGGACUUAACAUUUCACACGUCACGUUUCAAAUAGAGGCAGCAGCUGCAGCUGAGAUGAAGCAUAUCAAAGUAUACUUAGCCCUUACUAUAUUGGAAGAAAACGUAUUUCCCAGUUCCGAUGACCUUUGUUUUCUGCCAUAUUAAAGUCUUACGUAAUUUAAUUUUUAUAUAGCCAAUCUGUCUUUUCCUUUGUGAUGUAUUCCAUUGCUUUAGGGCUUACAUUUUUUCUAGUCUGAAGUGUAGAUUAAAAGGGACUUACUUUCUUCUAAAUAGAAAAAGAAAAGGUUUUAUUUUAACUGUGGACUCCAUUAAGAAUGUAUAUUGGUGUCCCUGCUGCCCCCACAGCUAACCAAAUGUUGCUGCACCAUUUCAAACAUCUCCACUGAUUUAUGCUUAUCUUAAUAAUUAUUAACUUAUCACUAAUACAUUAAUUUUAAUAAUGCCUUUCUGGGAAUAAAUACAUUUAUAGGAAAUUUCUAAAUUCAGAAAAAUAGGAUUAAAUAGAAAUUACACACAACUUUACCUCCCUAUAGCAAUAACAACAUUUCUGGUAUUUAUUCUACACAUAAGUAUACAUUGUAUAUGCAUAUAUCCUUUAAAAAGUUUGUCACAAGCCAUCUGUUCGGGGUUGGUUUUACAUAUCUGUAUUAGGAAACCUACACCUCUCACUAGAAGUUCUGGUCCUGAAUGUUCUUAUGAGGUCCAAUGGACUUCACUUUCUUCCCCAUUUUACUUCUGAAUGGAUUAGCCAACUAACAUCAUUUACUGCAGAGUGACUCCAUGGGGUAGAGAGCUGAUGAGAAUUACUUUGUAAACACACUUUUUAUGCUGACAUCAGCAACACAGUUCACUGUAGGGCUCUUGGCAUACACAGAAAAAAGUUGGUAGUGACAUCCAGCACCCAGAAAUAAUAUACUUUCAUGUUUCAACCUAGGUAGGUAUAUAUUUUAAACCCAAGUUGGAAUUGACUUUAUUUUACUAUUUUUUUAAUGUUUCCUAUUCAAUACUCUUUUUAAAUGACUUUAAAUAAUGGAACAGAAUUAUAACAUAUGGAUAUGACAAGUAACUUACUGACCCCCUUCUGCAGAGUUGAUUUUACUCUUCUAAUUCCUGAAUAUACCUCCCACUAGUUCCCUGGGACAAAAUUUCCAAAGGUGAGAAUCUUGGGUCUUAAGAAAACCUUUAAGGCUUUUGAUCCACUUGCCAGACUGCCCUCUGGAAAGGCUGUCCACCCCGCACAUACCCGCUUUUCGCAGGAGAGGACUGCCACCCCUACAUUCUUUGGCAAGGGACUUCUUUUUAACGAAUAAAAGAGCACAAAGGGCACUGUCCGGCCUGGACAUCAAGGGUUGCCCGUCUGAAGCAGGAAAGGCGUGCCCUUGACGGUGACUCAUGUCCGUGACCCACUGCCAGCACUGGGAUACUUAAUGUGCCCGCAGAAAGAGAAGGGCCCACUUAGAGUUAACAGAUUCUUAAGAGCCAACAAAGAGUUUUUCUGGGUGUAGAAUACCAAGUACAGCAAGGGAAGUGACCUUGAAAAAAAAAAUGGAAGUUCCCCCCAGACGAGGUCUGGCUGGCUGUCUGGGGCCAGCAUGCUGACCUUCAGGUCUUCUGGCAAAGAAUCAAGGUGGCCCGAGUGAGAAAACAAGUUAGUCAUAAACAGACCACCACGCGUCUCCUGGCUGACUGCGGGCACCUCGGGUCUACAGAGAGCCCUGCCAACUUCUACUUCCUGCAGCCACGAGUGGACCAAGAACAUGGCAGCCAUUCUUCUCAUAGACUAAAGCAACUUUAAGAUAAGGCAUUUGAGGAAGGGGAGCUUUAUGCUGACCAUUCAUCAUAUUCAGAAAAAGCAAACAGUGGGAAAUUCUUUGCUACAAUCACUGAAAUGUCACGAGACAAUGUCAUAGUGCGAAAGGGAAGCCCUGCAAUUCAACUGACCCUGGAAGCCUGCUGGAAUAAAAGUCACAGCUGAGCCAAGAGAAUUUUGCUUCUAUUGAAGAAAAAGUGCUUUCAAAGACUCUGUCAGAAAAUCAACUCAUAAUAGUAACAGUAGCGGCCAUGCAGCGAGGGUUGUUUGUGUGGCCACACAGGUAUUCCUCUCAUCUGAACUACAUGGAAUUAUCAUCCUCCUUUCAAGAAAAGGGACUCAGAAGGAUUAGGAACCCCAUCCCAGGACACACCGCUGGCAAAGGUCUGAGGCAGGAUCCAAAGGCUCAGGUCUGCUGGAAGCCAAAACACAGUGCUUGACUGGCUUGGAGACCUCACUUGUACUUGAACUGAGCCACCCACACGCGCUUCCCCUGUACUUACCCCCGGAGAGGAGUAUGGCACCGUGCUCGUCCACCAAAGUCAGAGAAGCUAUGUCAGGCAGAGAGGUGGGGGCUGCCUCACAGACAGCCAAGGCGUGAAAUAAACACAAACACCAUUUUGUAAUCAAUGAUUUUUAUCUCUGAAAAUGGAAGCAAGUGUUUUGACAGAACACUAUGGCCACUCUAUAAGAGCCGACCUAGGAGUAAUUCACUGUCCUCUUCUGGGAUGUCAUGGCUUAAAAAAAAAAAAAAAAAAAGACAAAACAGGAAAAUAAUCCACAAUGCUUUGGGCGCCUACUCUGAGCUUGGCUGGGCAUCCAUUCAUUAAAUAAGUCAUAAGCUACAAACUAAGAUCAGGGUAACUUUCCCUUGCCCUCCUGCUUCUCUUUGAACCACAUGCCCUACGGUGUUUCACCACCAUCAACAACUUUACUUCAUUAAUUCGAUAUCAGAACCUUAAAACACUACUGAAUCUUAGACAAAAGGUCCUCAGCAGAUUACAUUGAUAAAGAAACAAAUACAGAUUUGAAUAUAAGUCAUUGCCAUUAUUGUUUUCUUUACAUCUCAUGAUCCACUUCAAUAUUAAACACAUACAUACACACACACAAAACCACAUCAAACAUUCAGAUGCCCUGAAAUUGUGGAGACAGCACUCCCAGUAUUGGCUGGAUAAGAACAUGGUCCUUUUUCUACACGGACAUUACUCCAAGUUCGGCUGUCACCACACUCUGCCCUCACCCUGGCUCCCUGCAUACAGACGUUUCCAGCCAGUCCCAUGCCCACACCAGCACGAGCAUGUGCAAGAAUUCCCUUCGUGGUCCCAAUGGCACUACACAUUUCACGUUCAAUCACAGACAGCCCUUCCAAAACAGAGGCUCCUUAAAUCUUGUUUCCCAAGCAUGCACUAUAAGAAACUGGAAACGGGGCAAAGUUCCAGCUAACCGAGGAAUGAACAGGUGACCAGAGCUCAGUCUCUGGCCCCCUCCGAGUCCGGGGAGCCUCUGUGCUUUGACGCAGCCUUGGUGAGAGAUGGAGAGGCAGGGCAGGUUAGUUGUGCGGAGGGACAUGUUUGUAUGCAUUAAAGCUACAGCAGAGGUCUGUGCUCCUGUUUCUGCUUCACUCUCUAUCAUUCUCCUCAGUCUCAAUACUCAUUCAAUCGCACCCUCUGGCCUUGUCUUAGCUUAAUGUGGUUAGAGCUAAAAGGCAGGAAGGAAAGAAGGAAUGGCUGGGGGAGCCCUGAGAGAGGUCGCAGCACAUGUGAGGAAGAGGGUAGAGCAGGAGCUUUGUUGGUGGAAGGAGAGCCACUUCCUCCUCCAACACAGCAUGGGGACAGCACAGGGAAACAGGAUCACCCAGGGCAAAUACCCCUCUCCACAUGCCCACAUUUUUAGUCCCCACCACUGUACUCAAGAGCUGGGCAAGCUGCUGAAAAGGGCAAGAAGGAACACUCAGCAGUACACGUCUUCCUGUCCUGGGCACCCUUGUCAAGUAUUGACCAAAACCUGAAACAUGAUGUUUAAAGUGAUGAAUGCAAUAUGAUCCUAGGUGUGUAACAAACUGCAGAAACACAUGCUAGUUUGGGUUAGAUUAUAAUCAUCUGAAGCACAGGAUAACCGAGAAGCAAAAUUCCAUUCUGGUACAAACACCCAAUUUCUAGAAAAGAGAAAGGAAAA